GUCUCUGGCCAUGCCACCCUGAACGAGCCCAAUCUUGUCUGAUCUCAGAAGCUAAGCAGGGUCGGGCCUGGUUAGUACUUGGAUGGGAGACCACCUAGAAAGAUCAGGUGCUGUAGGCG
rnacentral:rRNA from 1 species